UAAACACAUCUGAAGAAUGAGUUCUUUUUCUUUUUUGAUUUUCAUUUUCAUUUGCCCGUCUAUUCAUUGUACUCUCUUUUCACUUACAGGCCUAAACUGUACUAAAACUGGGCUUAGUACACAGUGCAACCACUGUAACUGCUGUUGACUGAGAAACAUUCUCUUAUGAGGCUGUCAUUAUUGAAGCUUGCAAGUUUCUUUUCCUAAUUUCAAAAUGCCUUCUUCAUUUUAGAUCACCCCAGGUAGCCAUCUCACAGCAUCCAUCUAUCGAUUCUCCCUGCCCAAGGUGAAGAAGAAACCACUGGAGAAGUGGCAAAUCAGUAUGUCAACAGAUGGCUGGCACUGCUCGUUAACAACAUCUAUUUUCAACUGGAAGCACAUAUACUGCAGUGGUUCAGCUGGUGUCUUCUGCCUGCCCCAUUCAAGAGAGAUGAUUGCGUAAUGUAAAAGAAGGAUCAUGGGUAGGAUACGCAAAAACCUAAAGAAUCCCCCAACUCCAGAUGUUAGUGUCAUAAAGAGCAAGUUUCUAAACCACAAUAUUAAGGGUCCACACUUAAAGGACUAAUGAGAUUGAUCGAGUUUAGUUUCCUCUUCCUGUGAUAUGGAGACAUUAUUAAUAUCUCCAUUAAACAGACAGUGUGUGGCCUUAGGUUGCUUGCCUUCUUUGUGUACCAGAUUUCUCAUCUGUAAAAUGAGGAAAAUAAUAGUACUAUCUUACCUACCUCACAUAGUUGUCAUGCAUAUUAAAUCAAUCUAUGCAUGCACAAGGCUGGCCACAGGGCCUGCGCAUGGUAAAUACUGUGUGUUGUUAUUGUCAUUAUUAAUUUGAACCCUACCAUGUCCAAGUAAUAUAAUGCAGUCUAAGGAGACAAGGGUGAAUAGAUUACCCCGUGCUCUUAAGGAGCACGCUAGCAAGUAAGAGAGACAAAUGAACAAUAGUGAUUUUAAAAAGUACUGCAUAGUAGGAUGACAAGUCAGAGAUGUGUUUAAGGUUCGUGGUUUUGGAUCUGACUGGGUGGUGGGUGACAGGAUGAGAGAGGGGUGGGAUCCAGAAGAUUUUCCUAAAGAAGUGCCUCCGGAUAUGUAUUUUAAACACAGAGGAGUGCAAUCUUGUGGAGUAUUACUGAAGCCUGUUUCCUGGGGACAUUGUGGAAAAACAAAUUACAUAAAACCAUGCUUCUCAAACCUGAACUACAAUUCAAAAUCAUUCAUGAAGCUUCUUAUAAAUACCACCCAGGACCUACUGAAUCGGAACAUGCUAGUCUGGGAUCAAGGUAUUAGUUUACAACCUGUAUGGGUACUUCUAAGUCACAACCAGAGUUGAGAGCCACUAAAAAAUGUACAUUCAGUUCAGUUUGGUCGCUCAGUUGUGUCCAACUCUUUGUGACCCCAUGAAUCGCAGCACGCCAGGCCUCCCUGUCCAUCACCAUCUCCCGGAGUUCACUCAGACUCACGUCCAUCAAGUCCGUGAUGCCAUCCAGCCAUCUCAUCCUGGGUCGUCCCCUUCUCCUCCUGCCCCCAAUCCCUCCCAGCAUCAUAGUCUUUUUCAAUGAGUCAACUCUUCGUAUGAAGUGGCCAAAGUACAUUGAAAGCACAUUAUAGACAGUGAAUCUCAGGAAGAAUAUUAAAUAUUGUUAUUAGUCCUUAAUAUUCAAAUACUUAUAAACAAUGAUCUCAAGGAUGGUUGCUUUUUUUUUUU
ensembl:lncRNA